ensembl:lncRNA
GUCUGAAUGGGACUGUAGCGCGAGCGCGGGCGACUGCCUUCCUUCCGCCCUUCCCUCAGGGAGAGGGAAGCUGGGUCCCGCUCCCUCGGCCUGGUGUUACCGACUUUCCGCCCCGCCCCCGCCCCCAUCAGGUGCGGCCUAGCGCUGCCCCUGGAGAGCCUCAGAAAGCGGCAGCGGGCGGCCGCUUCCCGCCGCGACCCUGAGGGCGGCCUGCGGGGACGACGCGGCGGGCGCGGCUCUCGGGCAUGCUUGGCGGCGGCGGCGGCGGCGGUGUGCCCGCCGGGCCGGCGCCGCGCUCGGGCCCCGACCUCCUCCCACCGCGGCCUUCAGGCUCCUGGCGCACCGGGGGCCGAUCGCGGAGAACGUUUAAACUUGAAACAUCGGAGGUGACGGCUUCCUGGCGGCGAUAGGGGCACGGUCAACUUAACAUUUCGACCUAAAACAAAACCACUGUGGGCCCAGCUUGAAGGGGUGAUGGAGACGCCGGGAUAAACCUAAUGAGAAGUCAGGCACUUACCUCGUCUUACGUGAUCGGCACUCACGGUUUAAAUUUCUGUCUGGUGUUAAAUGAAAUGCCCAGCAGAGGAGUUGAUUUGAAUUCCGUAUGGACUCGGUGUAUAUAUAACAGCGUGUAUUUUUUCAAAGAAAUGGGUGUAAAGAGAACAAAUACAUGGGGAACUUUAACAAUUGCCUGUGUAAACAAGCACUAUUGUGAGUAGUAC